rnacentral:rRNA from 1 species
GGGGGGGGCAAGCGUUGUUCGGAAUUACUGGGCGUAAAGGGUCUGUAGGCGGCCGUCUAAGUCGGACGUGAAAUCCCUCGGCUCAACCGGGGAACUGCGUCCGAUACUGAAUGGCUUGAAUCCGGGAGAGGGAUGCGGAAUUCCAGGUGUAGCGGUGAAAUGCGUAGAUAUCUGGAGGAACACCGGUGGCGAAGGCGGCAUCCUGGACCGGUAUUGACGCUGAGAGACGAAAGCCAGGGGAGCAAACGGGAUUAGAUACCCCGGUAGUCCUGGCCCUAAACGAUGAAUGCUUGGUGUGGCGGGUAUCGAUCCCUGCCGUGCCGAAGCUAACGCAUUAAGCAUUCCGCCUGGGGAGUACGGUCGCAAGGCUG